CAGCCGUAAACUAUGCGCGUUAGGUGUAUCGGUGACCACGAGUCACCGAGGUGCCGAAGGGAAACCGUGAAACGUGCCGCCUGGGAAGUACGGUCGCAAGGCUGAAACUUAAAGGAAUUGGCGGGGGAGCGACCACAACGGGUGGAGCCUGCGGUUUAAUUGGACUCAACGCCGGGAAGCUCACCGGAUAAGACAGCGGAAUGAUUGCCGGGCUGAAGACUCUGCAUGACUAGCUGAGAGGAGGUGCAUGGCGUAGUCGUGU
rnacentral:rRNA from 1 species